rnacentral:misc_RNA from 1 species
CAACUGAGCCAGCAGCAGUUUGAUUAGCAGCUUCAGAAGCUGGUGCCGUUACUGUUGGGGCUGUAGUCGCAGCCGUGGUCGUAGCAGUCGUGGUUGCCGUUGCUGCAGCAGAAGCUGGUGUUGCAACUGAUGCCUUAGCAGCCGUUGCUGCAACAGUUG